UACGAAGGGGGCAAGCGUUGUUCGGAAUUACUGGGCGUAAAGGGCGCGUAGGCGGCCGAUCAAGUCAGGCGUGAAAUUCCCGGGCUCAACCUGGGGGCUGCGCUUGAUACUGAUUGGCUUGAAUGCGGGAGAGGAUAGUGGAAUUCCCGGUGUAGUGGUGAAAUGCGUAGAUAUCGGGAGGAACACCAGUGGCGAAGGCGACUACCUGGCCUGUUCUUGACGCUGAGGCGCGAAAGCUAGGGGAGCAAACGGG
rnacentral:rRNA from 1 species